rnacentral:rRNA from 1 species
UUACCGAGUUUACAACUCCCAAACCCCUGUGAACAUACCUUAAUGUUGCCUCGGCGGAUCAGCCCGCGCCCCGUAAAACGGGACGGCCCGCCAGAGGACCCAAACUCUAAUGUUUCUUAUUGUAACUUCUGAGUAAAACAAACAAAUAAAUCAAAACUUUCAACAACGGAUCUCUUGGUUCUGGCAUCGAUGAAGAACGCAGCAAAAUGCGAUAAGUAAUGUGAAUUGCAGAAUUCAGUGAAUCAUCGAAUCUUUGAACGCACAUUGCGCCCGCUGGUAUUCCGGCGGGCAUGCCUGUUCGAGCGCAUUUCAACCCUCAAGCCCCCGGGUUUGGUGUUGGGGAUCGGCUCUGCCCUUCUGGGCGGUGCCGCCCCCGAAAUACAUUGGCGGUCUCGCUGCAGCCUCCAUUGCGUAGUAGCUAACACCUCGCAACUGGAACGCGGCGCGGCCAUGCCGUAAAACCCCAACUUCUGAAUGUUGACCUCGGAUCAGGUAGGAAUACCCGCUGAACUUAAGCAU